rfam:Glossina pallidipes unplaced genomic scaffold Scaffold138, whole genome shotgun sequence.
ACGUCCCUCCAUCGGAAGCGUGCUAACGACAACCAGCCCCCGCAAAGUAAUACCUAACGGUGGUCCCGCGGGGGAGAGUGAAUGAAGAAGCGUUUGGGGGGUAGUUUUUAGUACGUAAGCGCCAUUGAUGGCGAAUUGUGCAUGCUGCUACUGAGAACCAGCGGCAUCUUUCGAAGAUUUUCUACCUCCAGGUCAC